rnacentral:rRNA from 1 species
CGGACAGCAAUAUGAAGGUCAGGCUGAAGACCUUACCCGAUUAGCUGAGAGGUGGUGCAUGGCCGUCGUCAGUUCGUACUGUGAAGCAUCCUGUUAAGUCAGGCAACGAGCGAGACCCACGUCCACAGUUGCCAGCAUACCCCUCCGGGGUGAUGGGUACACUGUGGAGACCGCCGCGUGCUAAAGCGGAGGAAGGAGUGGGCAACGGUAGGUCAGUAUGCCCCGAAUCUCCCGGGCUACACGCGGGCUACAAUGGUUGGUACAAUGGGCAUCUACCCCGAAAGGGGAAGGAAAUCUCUUAAAGCCAAUCGUAGUUCGGAUUGAGGGCUGCAACUCGCCCUCAUGAAGCUGGAAUCCGUAGUAAUCGCGUUUCAACAGAACGCGGUGAAUACGUCCCUGCUCCUU